rnacentral:rRNA from 1 species
GAUGAACGCUGGCGGCGUGCCUAAUACAUGCAAGUCGAGCGAACAGACGAGGAGCUUGCUCCUCUGACGUUAGCGGCGGACGGGUGAGUAACACGUGGAUAACCUACCUAUAAGACUGGGAUAACUUCGGGAAACCGGAGCUAAUACCGGAUAAUAUAUUGAACCGCAUGGUUCAAUAGUGAAAGACGGUUUUGCUGUCACUUAUAGAUGGAUCCGCGCCGCAUUAGCUAGUUGGUAAGGUAACGGCUUACCAAGGCAACGAUGCGUAGCCGACCUGAGAGGGUGAUCGGCCACACUGGGACUGAGACACGGUCCAGACCCCUACGGGAGGCAGCAGUAGGGAAUCUUCCGCAAUGGGCGAAAGCCUGACGGAGCAACGCCGCGUGAGUGAUGAAGGUCUUCGGAUCGUAAAACUCUGUUAUUAGGGAAGAACAAAUGUGUAAGUAACUAUGCACGUCUUGACGGUACCUAAUCAGAAAGCCACGGCUAACUACGUG